GACGAACGCUGGCGGCGUGCUUAACACAUGCAAGUGGAGCGACGAACCGGGGCUUGCCCCGGGGCAGAGCCGCGAACGGGUGAGUAACACGUGGGUAACCCACCCCGAUGACCGGGACAACCCGACGAAACUCGGGCCAAUAACGGAUGUGCUACUUGACCAUGACGUCAAGGCGUAAAGAUAUCUUCGGCCUUCGCCACGGGACGGGCCCGCGGCCCAUUAGCUUGUUGGUGGGGUAAAGGCCUACCAAGGCGACGAUGGGUAGCUGGUCUGAGAGGACGAUCAGCCACGCUGGGACUGAGACACGGCCCAGACUCCUACGGGAGGCAGCAGUGGGGAAUCUUGCGCAAUGCGCGAAAGCGUGACGCAGCAACGCCGCGUGGGGGAAGAAGGCCUUCGGGUUGUAAACCCCUUUCAGUUGGGACGAAGCUUCGCCGGUGAAUAGCCGGCUGGAGUGACGGUACCUUCACAAGAAGCCCCGGCUAACUACGUGCCAGCCGCCGCCGUAACAC
rnacentral:rRNA from 1 species